rnacentral:rRNA from 2 species
UGGGGAAUAUUGCACAAUGGGCGAAAGCCUGAUGCAGCGACGCCGCGUGAGGGAUGACGGCCUUCGGGUUGUAAACCUCUUUCAGUAGGGAAGAAGCGAAAGUGACGGUACCUGCAGAAGAAGCACCGGCUAACUACGUGCCAGCAGCCGCGGUAAUACGUAGGGUGCGAGCGUUAUCCGGAAUUAUUGGGCGUAAAGAGCUCGUAGGCGGUUUGUCGCGUCUGUCGUGAAAGUCCGGGGCUUAACCCCGGAUCUGCGGUGGGUACGGGCAGACUAGAGUGCAGUAGGGGAGACUGGAAUUCCUGGUGUAGCGGUGGAAUGCGCAGAUAUCAGGAGGAACACCGAUGGCGAAGGCAGGUCUCUGGGCUGUAACUGACGCUGAGGAGCGAAAGCAUGGGGAGCGAACAGG